UGGCGGCGUGCUUAACACAUGCAAGUCGAACGGUGAUGCCAAGCUUGCUUGGUGGAUCAGUGGCGAACGGGUGAGUAACACGUGAGCAACCUGCCCUGGACUCUGGGAUAAGCGCUGGAAACGGUGUCUAAUACUGGAUAUGAGCUCUCAUCGCAUGGUGGGGGUUGGAAAGAUUUUUCGGUCUGGGAUGGGCUCGCGGCCUAUCAGCUUGUUGGUGAGGUAAUGGCUCACCAAGGCGUCGACGGGUAGCCGGCCUGAGAGGGUGACCGGCCACACUGGGACUGAGACACGGCCCAGACUCCUACGGGAGGCAGCAGUGGGGAAUAUUGCACAAUGGGCGGAAGCCUGAUGCAGCAACGCCGCGUGAGGGAUGACGGCCUUCGGGUUGUAAACCUCUUUUAGCAGGGAAGAAGCGAGAGUGACGGUACCUGCAGAAAAAGCGCCGGCUAACUACGUGCCAGCAGCCGCGGUAAUACGUAGGGCGCAAGCGUUAUCCGGAAUUAUUGGGCGUAAAGAGCUCGUAGGCGGUUUGUCGCGUCUGCUGUGAAAUCCCGAGGCUCAACCUCGGGUCUGCAGUGGGUACGGGCAGACUAGAGUGCGGUAGGGGAGAUUGGAAUUCCUGGUGUAGCGGUGGAAUGCGCAGAUAUCAGGAGGAACACCGAUGGCGAAGGCAGAUCUCUGGGCCGUAACUGACGCUGAGGAGCGAAAGGGUGGGGAGCAAACAGGCUUAGAUACCCUGGUAGUCCACCCCGUAAACGUUGGGAACUAGUUGUGGGGACCAUUCCACGGUUUCCGUGACGCAGCUAACGCA
rnacentral:rRNA from 1 species